GGAGAUGUAGCUCAGUGGCAGAGUGCUUGCCUUGCAUGCAUGAGGACAUGGUUUCAAUUCCC
rnacentral:tRNA from 1 species